ensembl:snRNA U6 U6 spliceosomal RNA
GUGCUCGCUUCAGCAGCAUAUACACUAAAAUUGGAACAAUACCAAGAAGUUUAGCAUGGCCCCUGUGCAAGGAUGACACAAAUUCGUGAAGCGUUCCAUAUUAAU